rnacentral:rRNA from 1 species
CCUACGGGAGGCAGCAGUGGGGAAUUUUGGACAAUGGGCGAAAGCCUGAUCCAGCCAUUCCGCGUGCAGGACGAAGGCCUUCGGGUUGUAAGCUGCUUUUGUACGGAACGAAAAAGCUCUUACUAAUACUAGGAGUUCAUGACGGUACCGUAAGAAUAAGCACCGGCUAACUACGUGCCAGCAGCCGCGGUAAUACGUAGGGUGCGAGCGUUAAUCGGAAUUACUGGGCGUAAAGCGUGCGCAGGCGGUUAUAUAAGACAGAUGUGAAAUCCCCGGGCUCAACCUGGGAACUGCAUUUGUGACUGUAUAGCUAGAGUACGGUAGAGGGGGAUGGAAUUCCGCGUGUAGCAGUGAAAUGCGUAGAUAUGCGGAGGAACACCGAUGGCGAAGGCAAUCCCCUGGACCUGUACUGACGCUCAUGCACGAAAGCGUGGGGAGCAAACAGGAUUAGAUACCCUGGUAGUCCACGCCCUAAACGAUGUCAACUGGUUGUUGGGUCUUUGCUGACUCAGUAACGAAGCUAACGCGUGAAGUUGACCGCCUGGGGAGUACGGCCGCAAGGUUGAAACUUAAAGGAAUUGACGG